AGAGUUUGAUCAUGGCUCAGGAUGAACGCUAGCGGCAGGCUUAAUACAUGCAAGUCGAACGGCAGCACGGGUAGCAAUACCUGGUGGCGAGUGGCGCACGGGUGCGUAACGCGUAUGUAACCUACCUUUGACUGGGGAAUAGCCCCGAGAAAUCGGGAUUAAUACUCCAUAACAUUAAGAUGUGGCAUCACAUUUUAAUCAAAGCUCCGGCGGUCAAAGAUGGGCAUGCGUGACAUUAGCUAGUUGGUGAGGUAACGGCUCACCAAGGCUACGAUGUCUAGGGGUUCUGAGAGGACAUUCCCCCACACUGGUACUGAGACACGGACCAGACUCCUACGGGAGGCAGCAGUAAGGAAUAUUGGUCAAUGGACGCAAGUCUGAACCAGCCAUGCCGCGUGCAGGAUGACGGCCCUAUGGGUUGUAAACUGCUUUUGUACGGGAAAAAACCUUCGGACGUGUCCGGAGCUGAUGGUACCGUAAGAAUAAGGAUCGGCUAACUCCGUG
rnacentral:rRNA from 1 species